rnacentral:tRNA from 1 species
GCGCCUCUAGCUCAAUUUGGCAGAGCAACAGACUCUUAAUCUGUGGGUUCAGGGUUCGAGUCCCUGGGGGCGCACCA